rnacentral:lncRNA from 1 species
AAAAUGGGGGAAUGGAGGCAGGAGACUUUGAGGUAACAUGGUUUCGUGGUGGCAUGAGUCCUCAGAAGGUGUUUGUAAUUAAGGUUCCACACCCAGCUCUCUCAGUUGUUUUUAAAUGAAUGUGUGUGAUGAACAGAUGGGAAAGUUGGGAGAUCUGUCUACAGAGAAGCAAAGUUGUGGUUCUCUUGCUAACUUCAGGGUGAGGGACACCGGGCACACUAAGUUUGGGAACUUGGUUGAUAAAUACGUAUAUGGUCCCUUCCAUAAAUCAGUGGUGAGUGACUGGCCUGGGUUCUAGACCUCUGGGAACCAGCCCCUGAGUCACAGCUGUCUAGGCCUCGGUGCUGGCCUGGGUUCUAGAUCUCCGGGAACCAGUGCCUGAGUCACGGAUGUCAGUACAGCUAUUUGCUCAGGGCUGCUCCCAAGGGGGUGAUGGGAAAUUCGGCAGUGUAGACUCACUUUAAACAAGCUCCAGUGAUCCUGAAACGCUGAAGAUCAUGUAGGGGGGUUGUGGGGUCAGCAGAGCUGCCAUCUGCCCACGUCUGGAAAACAAUACACAGUGAGUCACCGGUUGGCCACGAGAACUCCCCACUUAAAGGUGCUGUGAGCUUGUCUCUAAGAUACAUACCUCUUCCUUUUGUCUUUUGCCGUAAGCUUUGACCUUUUGCAGAUCUGAUGAAAAUACAACUUCUUAUUGUAUAGUUUGCCUUGAUUAUAAGCCGUAGUAAAUCUAGCUGUUCGCGUUUUUGCAGGCCCUGCAUUUUCUACUAGGAGGUUCAUCAAACCUUCCACUUAGCAAUAGCCCUGACUCAGGCAGAAUGCCUCGUAAAUUAGCCUUCAAAAGAAAAGUGCGCGCUCAGACAGUGUGUGGAGGGGCAGGAGCAUGAUGCAGACAAGGACUUAGUCAUGACUGAUUUUCCUUAGCCAGUUUUUUUAACGGCUUAUGGGGAACAUUGUGAUCGUCCUACCUGACGUGUUAGCAGAUGUAGAAUAUGAGGAUCCUCAAGCAUCUCUACCAUAAGUCUAAGGAAUUUAGGUCCCUAUUGUCACUUUGUUUUGGAAUGUUUUUUAUAAAAAUGCAAUUAAAUACCUCACUAUUAAACUGC